AGAGAGAGACAUGCGCGCAUAUCAAUAAGCGGAGGAAAAGAAACUAACAAGGAUUCCCUUAGUAACGGCGAGUGAAGCGGGAAGAGCUCAAAUUUGAAGCUUCAAGGUUUUACCUUGACGAAUUGUAGUUUAAAGAAGUGUUUUCUGCUGAAGUUUUGGUAAAAGUUCUUUGGAAUAGGACAUCAUAGAGGGUGAGAAUCCCGUAUUUGACCAUUAUUUUCAGCUUUGUGAUACACUUUCAAAGAGUCGGAUUGUUUGGGAAUGCAGUCCAAAAUGGGUGGUAAAUUUCAUCUAAAGCUAAAUAUUGGCGAGAGACCGAUAGCGAACAAGUACCGUGAGGGAAAGAUGAAAAGAACUUUGAAAAGAGAGUUAAACAGUACGUGAAAUUGUCAAAAGGGAAGCGUUUGACACCAGUGUUGUUUUCUCGAAAAUCAAUUAAAAAUGGCUCGAUUUUGUAUUGUUGAGACCUUAAAAGCUCACUGUACAUUUUUCGUGUCUUUUUUAAUGCACUUUUCGUUUAACAAGUCAACAUCAGUUUCUUUUGUUGUAAAAGGGUCAUUGGAAGGUGGCUUUCUUUUCGGAGAAAGUGUUUAUAGCCUUUGGCCUCUGCAAUCGGAGAGACUGAGGUCUGCAGCGUAGACUCUUCGGGGUUAGAUACAUUUGUGCUAAGUUAUAGCUUCUUAUAGACAACUUGUUGACUAUGAUUAGUCAUUGUAGCUUACUCGCUUAUGCUAUUUUACCUACGCUUAGGAUGUUGAGUCGUAGAGCACGCAG
rnacentral:rRNA from 1 species